CACAGGAUGCGGACAAACAUGUGCCGGAACACAGCCAAAAGAAUGAGCAACGCAGUACAGGCUGUGAAUGGACAGCCGGGGAAACUAAGCUGCAAUUAGAUUAUUAUGAGCAGUUCUUUGCUGAGAUUGGACCUAUGAAAAAAUUCAAUAAUAAAAAGGUAAUGUUCGCCCGAAUUGCAGUGAACAUAUCAGAGGCACUGGGAAGUCCGAAAACUGGUGAGCAGUGCUGCAGCCGCUAUAAAACUGUAAUGUGAAGAAAAAGAAGCGCUACAGCACACACCAAGAACUACGGGAAUUCCCCGUGUGAAGUGCCUUUUG
rnacentral:lncRNA from 1 species